rnacentral:lncRNA from 1 species
AGGCAUUCAGCAGCUGCUAUGCUCCCACUGCCGGCCAGAGACACUUUGGUUUUACACUUGGGCUUUUCGUUUUAAUUAUUUGUUCUUCCCUACCUCCUGCUAGUUAGUUUACAAGUUCUUUGAAACACCACCUUCUUUCGAUCCUGUGUCUUUACCUCGGAACAGUUACAUAAACGCUCUUCAGCCCGCUACAGAAUCCUAGCCGAGAUGCAGGUGUCUGAGUCCAGUGACUGUUUCGACAUAGGAAACUUGAGGGCUUAAGCAUAUGCUUUGUAAACCAGAGUCCCAUUCCCUGGGAGUCCCAGGUUCACCCCGCUUCGUUCAGGCUCUGUGCUCUGGGAGGUCUUUACGCCUCACGAGGAUGGCUGUGCCUGUGCCAUAUGGAAGAGCAGCUGGGUAUUGAACUGAGGUCAUCAGUUGAGCAGCAGGCAACCUUGACCAUCU